CUCUUCAGGAGGAGAGGGAGGAGGCAAGAAGAUCUAAAGAUCAAGGUCUGCCUGGGAUGCAAUGGCCCACAGAAGAUUAUAUUAACUGUAUGAGGGAUCCAGAGAAAAGAUCAUCCUACCUGUGCCCUGGACUCAGACUCACUUCAACAAAUACUCCCAGCAUCUUGAAGGUUCCAGUGUUCUCAUGUGGACUUCCAGCUCAUGGUCUUCCUACACCAGCUGCCAAGGGGUUGUUACAACUACUUAAGGGCAGACAUCCUGGGAGAUGAGAAGACUUUGGACUCAGAAGACUGACACAUCAAUCUGUCAUUGGCUCAGGUGGAGACAGGAGCCUAGGAUACCUGUCUUUUGUGAUGCUUUGUCAAGAAUCUGAUGGAAACAGAUGCAGAGACCAUGUGAUGGCUUGGCCCAGGGAAUGGCAUUAUUAUAAGGUGUAGCCUUGUUGGAGUAAGUUUGUCACUGUGGAUGUGUGCUUUAAAACCCUCAUCUUAGCUGCCUUGAAGCCUGUAUUCUGCUAGCAGCCUUCAGGAAAAAAUGCAGAACUCUCACCUCCUUCUGCAACAUGCCUGCCUGGAUGUUUCCAUGUUCCUGCCUUGAUGAUAAUGGACUGAAACUCUGAGCCUAUAAGUCCACCCCAAUUAAACUUUAUUUUCACAAGAGUUGCCUUGAUCAUGGUAUCUGUCCAUAGCAGUAAAACCCUAACUAAGAAUAACCCACUGCUAAAGAAUAGGCAGAUUUAAUGGGGCCUUGUGGAAGAGUGGGAGGAUUGAGGGAGCUGGAGGAGUCAAGGACAUCACAACAAGAUCUUCAG
rnacentral:lncRNA from 1 species